UUGUUCAGAAGAACCUUAAUUCGAAUCCUAGUUAAAACAAUUUAUUAAUGAUGAAUUGUUCGGAAGAACCUCAAUUCGAAUCCUAGUCGAAACAAUUAUUUGCUAGACUAUACUUAUUCCGAAAAAUUAAGACAAAAAAAAAAUUAACUAAAACACUUCUCAUCAUUACAUUGACUUAAAAAUCCUGAGCCAAAACCUGAAAUGGUAGUUUAAAUUAAAUAAAGUUACAUACAAAAAAAAUAAAAGAAAUGAAAUUUUGAAGAAAAUAAAGAUAACCCAAGUUACUGAAUGCAUAGAUAUUACCAUAUUCUCUCUCUGUGUUGUUGAAUGCAAUAGCUAUUGAAAUCAUGUGCUGAAGGAGUCAAUAGCUGAUGUUUGGAUUUGGUUGAAUCAACUUUGGAACCAAACUCAAGAGUGAGUGAGUGACCCUUCAAAGUUCAAUGUCAUACAAACUAAGAUCGCCUCUACAUUUAAUUUCUUUCCCAUUUUUAUUUAUAGAUUUUGAGGAAAAUUACAUUCAUCUCC
rnacentral:lncRNA from 1 species